UACGUAGGGCGCAAGCGUUAUCCGGAAUUACUGGGCGUAAAGGGCUCGUAGGUGGCCAACUAAGUCAGACGUGAAAUCCCUCGGCUUAACCGGGGAACUGCGUCUGAUACUGGAUGGCUUGAGUUCGGUAGGGGAGACUGGAAUUCCUGGUGUAGCGGUGGAAUGCGCAGAUAUCAGGAGGAACACCGGUGGCGAAGGCGACUUACUGGACACAUAUUGACGCUUGAGGUGCGAAAGCGUGGGGAGCAAACAGG
rnacentral:rRNA from 1 species